rnacentral:rRNA from 1 species
CGUACACUCCUGCGGGAGGCAGCAGUGGGGAAUAUUGGACAAUGGGCGCAAGCCCGAUCCAGCCAUGCCGCGUGAGUGAUGAAGGCCCUAGGGUUGUAAAGCUCUUUCACCGGUGAAGAUAAUGACGGUAACCGGAGAAGAAGCCCCGGCUAACUUCGUGUCAGCAGCCGCGGUAAUACGAAGGGGGCUAGCGUUGUUCGGAUUUACUGGGCGUAAAGCGCACGUAGGCGGACUAUUAAGUCAGGGGUGAAAUCCCGGGGCUCAACCCCGGAACUGCCUUUGAUACUGGUAGUCUUGAGUUCGAGAGAGGUGAGUGGAAUUCCGAGUGUAGAGGUGAAAUUCGUAGAUAUUCGGAGGAACACCAGUGGCGAAGGCGGCUCACUGGCUCGAUACUGACGCUGAGGUGCGAAAGCGUGGGGAGCAAACAGGAUUAGAAACCCGAGUAGUCCCAUG